rnacentral:rRNA from 1 species
AGCUCCAAUAGCGUAUAUUAAAGUUGUUGCAGUUAAAAAGCUCGUAGUUGGAUUUCUGUCUUUAGUAAUCGGUCCGCUCAAUUUGAGUGCGUACUGUGGUUACUGAAUUCAUUUUUGUGAGGAGCCUUGGCUGGCAUUAAGUUGUCUGGCCUUGUGUACUUGCAUCGUUUACUGUGAAAAAAUUAGAGUGUUUAAAGCAGGCGUUCGCUUUAUUUGAAUACAUUAGCAUGGAAUAAUAAGAUACGACUUGUGUGGUAUUUUGUUGGUUUGCACGCGCAAGUAAUGAUUAAUAGGGACAGUUGGGGGUAUUCAUAUUUCAGCGUCAGAGGUGAAAUUCUUGGAUCGCUGAAAGAUGAGCUUAGGCGAAAGCAUUUACCAUGGAUGUUUUCAUUAAUCAAGA